rnacentral:lncRNA from 1 species
GUGAUUGCAACGUUAACAUUUGAAUUAAAAAUAGCCACAAGCAUAUUCCACCAUUCACAUAUAUAGCCAUAAGCAAAGUGCAUUAAUUUGACUAAACAGAGCUACAAAGACGCCAUUUAAAUUCGAGGCCUGCAAUUUUUUCUUUGUAUGGGACAGCUGCGUAGACAAAUGAUGGAAACGAGCAAAGAUCUUCGAUCUUUCUUCGAACAACACGGAUGGAAGGUCGUCGGCGUUUGCAAGAAGGGGUGGUACAGAAUCCGGACCAACCUCAAAAUAUAAGGUCUAGUCUGGUGAUUGCUUAUCUAUUUCUUCUCUAUCGGUGAUUUGGGAAAACGAGGUCAUGGAUCGAUGCCAUAUUUCUUUUCAUUUCGCUCAUUUCAUAACAGUUCGGAUUUUUAAGGGGUCCAGUGAUUGUCUAACAUUAAAUUAGGGAUUUAGUUGUAGGAGUCACAGGAACAUAAUGAGACCUCUGAUAUCCAAUUCUUGAUCGAUCCCUAGUUGUUUAUCAAUUUGUAAAGAGUAAGAUUAUGGCCUGUAUAUUUUCCUCUCACUUGAGGGGCUUUAGUUUCUGGUGUCUAAUGUGUACUGUUGUUUAUAACAAUACGGUGGAUGUUUUUUGAAUGAUAGACAAGGUAAUGAUUUCAGAAUGUUGUAGUAUUGUCCUCUGCAAAACGCAAGCAGUUGUUCUAUUGAUGUACACCUAUAACGCAACAAUGAGCCUACGUUAAUUAAUUUGAUUUGUUUAGCAAUGUUUAGAAGGAGCAGAACAAUAAAAUAAUGCAGACAAUCCAUGCCAAAACGUUCUGUGUUGCACAUGGAACACUUGUCUUUAU